AACAACAGCAAAUGCUGAUUAAUGCUUCAUUCAUCUGAAGGGUAGAGCCCCAAAAACAGAGGAGUUCAGUGUGAAAACGUCAUUCUGGAAGAGUGACAUUGACAAGGGAUGACGCCCCAUGAAGUGUCUGUUAUCAGAAAUUCAUGGAGGGGGGGCGGUUGCUCCUGUGAAGGGUGGUAAUGUCUGAUAAUAAGCACCUCGUGGGGCGUCUUCCCGCUUAUACCACGCUCACUCCUGAAAGAAGAGGACACCAAUUAGAACUCCGUGAUGCGUUGUCACGACGUUUCAGGUUGAAAGCUCUACACGUCCUGUUUUCAUGUCUGGACGUUGAGUCGUCUGGACCUAAAGUCUUCUUUCUUCAAACCUUUCAUCACUCGUCUCGUCAGUCUGAGAAGGAAGACUUACGUAGGUAAGAACCUACGUGGACGUCUUCUCAUGUCUCCUGCUGCUCUCAGCCUUUUUGGACGCCAUUAUACGGUCCAGCAUAGUUCUGCUCCACUCAACAGGAACCAGAAGCCACAUUGUUCUGCGUAUUUCCCAUUGAUCGUAUAUGAGAACUGGACUGAGUGACCCCUCCCUCCCGGCGGUCUAAACAGAAAUAACCAGCUGUUCCUCAGUCGUUCUAUUGGUCAGAAGAACCAUUUUUGAUCCGAUCCCUUUAUUAACAUCUUCUUGAUAAUCCUCUUUUUUUCAUAUUUUUUUUGUUCAACUUAUUCAAGUUAUAAACCGACCAAUCAGACGCCUCAAUUAAAGUCGGUGGUCUCACGUCAAAUGUUAAAAAGGUUGGAUUGAGGGUUGGUAUAUCCUGCUUUCAGUAGAAGGGGUGUGGCCUCCCAACAAGCUCACUCCUUACUGGCACAUGUGGUUGCCAUAGAAACUCAGACGGGUUCGGACCAAUCAUUGCUUACUGACGCUGUCUGGCUCCACCAUGUUGGCUUCAGCGUGGCAGAAGUUGGCGCCUGAAGUUUUCUAUGGGGUACGUCACACUCACUCACUCACUCCAGGUCUCCUAUACAGUAAAUGGUUGAGCAGUGGGGUGGAGGGCGUUUCUGCUGUUAGUGUAGUGACCCCCCCCCCAAUGUCAGACCAAACUUCAGAGGAUGCCUCUGAUGAUGAGAAGGAGACUGAAGACCAGUGUGUGUGUGUGUGUGUGUGUGUGUGUGUGUGAGAGGAUCAGUUCCAGACUCACCGUCUGGCAUUUGAACCUCCCUGAAGAAGACCAGCUGGUUGGGAGGGAGGGGCUUGGUGUGAGCAUGCUCAGUGAGCGUGUCCUCCACCAUCUGCACCAUCCUCAGAGCGGACUAGAGAGAAGACAAACGUUUAGCUCCAAACCACAAACGGCACGGAUCUGACACUAAAGCUUCAGAACAGAAACUACACACAUUUAUGCAGCAAAGUGCCUCAAGCUUCCUCUGAAAGGAAUCUGCCACAAACUAAGACAAAUCAAGCAGAACUCCAAACCCAUCAUUCAUUUCCAUUCAAGCCAAAGAGCCACAGUGGAGGCAUAAAGAGCUGCAUGCGGCGCCGCAGCCUCAGCCGCUCCAGACCUUAUUCCACCAAGUGGAUCCACCUUUAGGCUGUGCAGCCACUGACCUUUCUACAUUUACAAAUGUCCAUAUAGUCAUUUAGCUCUUGUGGUGUGGGUGCCACGGUAACCGAGCUUUCCAGCCGCUUCGUGUGGAACAUUUCCACAAAGCUUCAGAUGAUCAUCAGAAGACUAAAUGUGGAGACGGACCGUCACACACGGGGAACUAUUCUACAAGCAGAGAGGCAGAGCUCACAGGUAGAUCUACCAGAAACAUGACAGAAAGCUGGAACUCCCUGGAGACGACACGUCCAAACGUUUGGCAGAGUCCACAUCUGCUGAUCUGAUAGUGAGCGAGGGCCGCCCUGAUAAUGUCAUUCAUGCAAAUGGACUCAUACAGGAUUUGUUUGUAAUCAGACGCUUUCCAUUUCUUCACACAGCCCAGAAAAAA